UCCACCAGGGACAAAAAGCACGUGGUCAGCUUGGGAUGAGAGGACAGGAGGGGAUAGCAGCGCCACAAGAGACGUUCCCAAGUGAUGCGUGAAAGUGUUCUGCACCUCCGCUGGGUGGGAGGUUUCACAAAGACUGACUGACUGCUGUCCCCUCACACUGUCUCUGCACUGCAUACUGCACUUGGUGUUGCGUUCGGUAUCUGUGCUCAAGUAGCUAUCCAUGUGCACUUGAAAGUUACAACCUGCUGUGAAUCCUCCACUCCUGGCCACCCAGGGGUUAUCAGCUGAAACUUUUGUAUCCUUUAAAGAAAAUCAUAUUGGACAUUUUGGGAUCAUCUCCAUAGUCCCUAUUGGAAUUGAAAGGCAGUUGAAGUCAAUCCAGGAAAGAAAAUCAUCCUCAAAUCCAUCAGAUCUCUAAGUGCUGACAUGAGCACUGUGUCUUGAGAGAGAGUGGACCCUUUGGAUGGGAAAGCACACUUCUCCCUGUGCCUGCUGCAUCUUAAGCAUCUACACAUUUGCCGAAUUAAAACUUCUGAUUUAUCAAACUCUAACUUCACAGGCAGCUUUUCUGGUUUCUCAUUGCUGUUUCUAAGGAGUACACAGAUAGAUGUGUUCCACUAUAAAAGGAAGGGGCCCCGGGGUCUUCUCAUCAGAGGUGGUGGUUUGGCUUAUGACCCUAGCAUUGCGACCUCACUUCCUUGGCGACAGGUCCAAACAGAACUCGGAACCCUGGAGUCACUGGGCAGCACAGUCCAGCGACGGCUGCCUAACAGUCACUUGGCUGGAGAGAGUCAGCAGCGAUCAUGCUGUGCUGCUUUCCCAGGCCUUGAGGCCGCAGCAAUAGGACCCCGCGCAGGGAAAGCACUUGGGCACGAGUGAGAGGAUGGAUGGCUAAGUCCCCAUGCUUCAGGCCACUCACCAGGAGCUGCCUGGCCAUCAGGGGCAGCACAGGGCGGGUCUCACCAGACCCAGAGACCUGGGGACCUGAGAUGAGCGGGAGCCCAGGGCAGAUCUCCCGGGACCUGGACGCCAGACACUCGGGGCCACCGAGUCCAGGACAGGUCCAGUCAGGCCCGGCCACCGCUGUGAGUCCCCGGUGCCCAUUUGUGCCCCUUCUGAUUGGGGCCCAAUGGGAGGAGAGCCGAGCAGAGGACUGCAUGGUGAGGAUGGCACUGGCAGGCAUGCAGCACCCCCCCCAAGGGAGCCCCCAGAAUGGGACUUCCUGGACAGCCACCCCAUCCACAUGGACUCCCUCCUGGACCCCUCUGGGGCCUGCAUUCCCGCCCUGCAGGAGGGGAUGGUGGGAAGGACCAGCUCCAGCCCCAGCUGAAGUCCCACAUGUGGAGCCCGAGCCAGCUCCACCUGCAGCUUCCUGCCCAGCACUGGGACCACAGCCAGAGUCCGUGGCAGCCCCUUCACCUGCUGCAGUGCUGGGGCACCCGGUGGUUGCACAGCGGUCCGUGUCACCUCCUGAGCUCCGCCUUGGGCCAGCUCCUGGCCCCUCCCACUGUUUCCUUCACUUAUGCUGCCUCUUGUUUUGGUAUUUACAAUUGCCCUUAUUUCUUGGAUUUAUAUAAAUAAUAGAACUAGCUUUUAAUAAAACUUAAAAUUUUAGUGUUUAAAAGGGUCAGCGUGGUGGCCUGAAGUGCCUUCUCCUUGUGUGUGCCCAUCCCCAGAGCACUGUGCUU
rnacentral:lncRNA from 1 species